rnacentral:lncRNA from 1 species
GGACUGCUCUGCGCGCUCCCGGUGGGGCGCGCCUGCGCAUUAUGCUGGUCUCCAUGGCGGGGCCUCGGAGCCAAGACGAGAGAAAAUGCUGCUGUGAAGACCCAAUUAAAGCUUUCACAUAAAUGAAGCUACAGCUAUCAUGAUUUAGUGCCCCCAAAAGGAAGAACUUCAGUGGACAAGAAAGGACAUUUCUGGGGGUAGUAGAAUGCUUGAGGCCUGGAAUUUAAACCUGAGCCACUAUCUGAAGACGGAGUCUUGCCCUGUUGCCCAGGCUAGAGUGCCAAGGCACGAUCUUGGCUUACUGCAACCUCCACUUCCCAGAUUCAAGCAGUUUUCGUGCCUUAGUCACUUGAGGAGCUCUGGUUACAGCUAUUAAAUAAUAGAAGAAAAUGGAAUUGAAUAUGAUGUCAGCAUGGAACAAUCUAAUGAUUCAUUAAGAGUCAACCAUAAUGACGGUGAAGAGUCAAAAACCAGUGCUCAAGUAUUUGAGCAUCUAAUCUGUAUGGACUCCAGGGAUUCUUCCUUUGGACAAAAUGAUUCUCCUACAGUUUUGCCCAUCACUACUCGUGAAGCAA